rnacentral:rRNA from 1 species
AUUGAACGCUGGCGGCAGGCCUAACACAUGCAAGUCGAGCGGAUGAAGGGAGCUUGCUCCUGGCUUCAGCGGCGGACGGGUGAGUAAUGCCUAGGAAUCUGCCUGGUAGUGGGGGAUAACGUCCGGAAACGGGCGCUAAUACCGCAUCCGUCCUGAGGGAGAAAGUGGGGGAUCUUCGGACCUCACGCUAUCUGAUGAGCCUAGGUCGGAUUAGCUAGUUGGUGGGGUAAAGGCCUACCAAGGCGACGAUCCGUAACUGGUCUGAGAGGAUGAUCAGUCACACUGGAACUGAGACACGGUCCAGACUCCUACGGGAGGCAGCAGUGGGGAAUAUUGGACAAUGGGCGAAAGCCUGAUCCAGCCAUGCCGCGUGUGUGAAGAAGGUCUUCGGAUUGUAAAGCACUUUAAGUUGGGAGGAAGGGCAGUAAGUUAAUACCUUGCUGUUUUGACGUUACCAACAGAAUAAGCACCGGCUAACUUCGUG